rnacentral:rRNA from 1 species
GUCACUUUGUCUUUAUGGCAAAUGUGAGAUGCAGUGUAUGGAAUGUCAAAUUUCUAGUAUGAGAAAUUAACGAUUUAAGUCCUUCUUAAAUGAGGCCAUUUACCCAUAGAGGGUGCCAGGCCCGUAUAACGUUAAUGAUUACUAGAUGGCAUUUCCAAAGAGUCGUGUUGCUUGAUAGUGCAGCACUAAGUGGGUGGUAAACUCCAUCUAAAACUAAAUAUAACCAUGAGACCGAUAGUAAACAAGUACCGUGAGGGAAAGUUGAAAAGAACUCUGAAUAGAGAGUUAAAUAGUACGUGAAACUGCUUAGAGGUUAAGCCCGAUGAACCUGAAUAUCCAUUAUAGAAAAUUCAUCAUUAUGAUUUUAAUAUUAAUAAUAUUAUAAUAAUGGUGUGCAUUUUUUCUAUAACGGACAUUGUAAUCUAUUAACAUAAAUAUAUUUAUCAUAAGAUCAAUGAUGCGUAAGUUUAUUCAAAUUAUUUUGCUUGCAAUUUAACAUAGAAUAAAUGCUCUUGAUUUGAUAAAGUGUUGAUAGAUUUAUUGUAUAUAGUGCUUAAAUAUUUAUAUUUUAUAAUAGCAUAUUAAUCAUUGAUUUUUAUGUUUAUUAUAUGCACUUAUAUGAUUAACAAUGCGAAAGAUUCAGGAUACCUUCGGGACCCGUCUUGAAACACGGACCAAGGAGUCUAACAUAUUUGCAAGUUAUUGGGUAUCAAAACCUAAUAGCGAAAUUAACAUAACUUUAAUGGGAUUAGUUUUUAGAUUAUUUAUAGUCUAUUAAUUCAAUCCCGGGGCGUUCUAUAUAGUUAUGUAUAAUAAUAUUUAUAUUAUUUAUACCUCUAACUAGAGCGUACCUUGAGCAUAUAUGCUGUGACCCGAAAGAUGGUGAACUAUACUUGAUCAGGUUGAAGUCAGGGGAAACCCUGAUGGAAGACCGAAACAGUUCUGACGUGCAAAUCGAUUGUCAG